CCUAAUUCAGUGUGGGGAGACUGUCUGGGCUGCAGGCAGUCUCCCCACAACCGGAGCCACGCUGAUCGCCGCCGGGGGAACGACGGCGAUCAGGUAAGUAACGGAAACCGUUAGGACGGUUCAGGACCGUCAUCGGUCUGCAAGGCAAAAAUGCCGAUGACGGUCCUGAACCGUCCUCGGUCGGGAAGGGGUUAAACUGCGAUUCCAGCUUACACUCCAAAACUGUGUUGUCCUGUUAUUGGAGGGCAAGAAGAUUUACUCCUAUGUCUGCUGUUCCAGCUUGCAGAGGAUUCAACGGGGAAAGUCCUUGUAAGGACUAGAGCUAAUUCCCCAUUCGGUUCCAGAGCUCCCAGGACUGAGUGUCGUCCAGUGCCUGGGGGUGUCAGAGCUAAUUCCCCAUUCGGUUCCAGGAAAGAGGUGGCGGUUCGAGGACCCGAGUCAAGCCAAGGCGACUGAGGGCAGAAGUGCGGCGGUUUGUCCCCUGUUCCAGUUAGGAAGUGGUCCUUGGCGGAGGUACCCAACCCGGGAUACAGGGAGCUCCGUUACAAAUGUGACAGACCCUCCGUCAAUUGAUGCUCCUAGUGCUUACCAAGGACCAUCAGCACCGCACCAGACACAUAAGCACUGCAGAUCCCACGAACCCACCGCAGCUUGGUUGGGGUCUCGCCGUCUCCUACCCACCUUGGACCUAUGACAAAGCUCCAGUAAGAGCUUCAGAGAGCGAAGCAGGGACAGCUCUUAGAAGAUCUAGUAAUUAGAAUCCAGUUGUGAUAUAGCAGUUCCUUACAACACGAGACGAGGCUGCGAGUUGAGGUUAAGAAGGUCUGACGGUUUAUUGAUCAGCUUGAGUUUUUAUACAGUUUUUCUUACAGAGUCUUACAUGCAGAUACUCCCAUGCAGUGUAUACAAUCCCUACCCUCUGCCUGGGAUACAAUAAACAAAGACAAUGGGCUAACUCAAUUAACUCAAAGCAGAAAAACAUAAACUUUUACAAAGUCUGGAAAACACCCCACAAAUCUUCUGACACAUCCCUUGAUAGCCCUGAUCUGGGUGAACAACAUAUCCAAAAAUCACCCAGAUCAAAGCAGAGGUUCAAAAGUUUUAUGGAAGUCAUAUUUUUGCCCAGAUGUACACAGGAUUUGAUGCCCGAAACCGUUCCAUAGAAUCGCGGCUAAGUGCCACUGGAGGACCGACCGGGAACCACAAGGUUUUCAUGCCGAAAAUAGUUCCAGGGCAUUCGCGGCUAAGUUCCCCUGAAGUCUAUUCGCGGUUUUAGCCCAUGCGAACAAGAUGGCCGCCAUCACAUGGUCGAAUCACAUGGUCAAAUGGCGGUCUCUUAGAUUGUUUGGGAGUUCGAAGAACCAAAUGUUUAAAGUCCCAAUAGGCACAAUUAGGGUCUCUCAGCCAAAAUAAAUUAAAGGGGCCAUAGUCACGGGGCAAGAUGCUGGCCAUUAGUCCUCUCCCAAAAACCAGUGGCGCAGUUGCUUUCGUCACAGAAGUAAUAUAACUUGUCUCUCGUUAUUCAUGUAUACUCGUGCCUACAGCUAGACUACUACUAAGUCAGAAAGGGUUUAGUGUAUAUACUUUGAAACCUUAUGAUAUGGUUCUUUGUUUUGAGGGGAGAAAUAUCCAUUGCACCCAAUUGGUCGGCUACGUGCCAUUCCGUGCUGUGACCAUGCUGCAUCUUUGGAGUUUGGGAUAAGUGGAGUGUGCGUAUGCUUAGCGGUUCUGGGGCCCCGUAGUUAUAUCCAACCAAGUGUUGUGUCUCCGUAGGCGUGUCCGUGUCUACUGAUCAGGUGUAGGGGUCUUACUAUGCUCUUGUGAUGUAAUGAGAAUGUGGUCUAAGGCUAAACACUAUUUGUGGGGCAUGUGUUGUUCUAGAGGCCCCUGGGUGCCCUUUCAUUUAUGGUCCCUCUUUUCUAUGUACUUCUUAUUUGUUCCAUUGUGCUUUUGUCUCUGCCUAUUUUGGGAACUGGAUAUAUAUUUGAUUCUUUAAGGCUAUGGGUGUUUGGUGAGGAAUGGGAAGAGGUAUGGGUCUGGAGUUGUAGUGCUCUGGAGGAGAGAGUGGCGACUUCUCUCCAUAGUUGGAAUAUGUGGGAACACUCCCACUACAUAUGGAUAUAUAUGCCCCACUCUCCGCAACCCUUUCAGCAGUGGUCCGAAUCUGAUCGUUGCAUUUGUUUGAGUCUCAGGGGGAUAAGAUACCAAUGCAGCAAAGUCUUAUAUGCCUGCUCUUUAUGAUUGGCACAUAUAGUGAUCGAUGCAGUGGCCUCCCAAAUGUCCGCCCAGUACAAUGGGUCCCCCGGGGGGCCCAGCUCUCUCUCCCAGGCAGCCACAUAUGAGAACGCUUCCAAGGGGGCGUUUUUUGUCAGAUUGUUGUAUAGAAUGGAGAUUUGGCCUUUUGUAUGGGAGUUUGUAGGCACAUUUUCUCGAAUCUAGUGAGCGUUGCCGUUGCAACGUUUGGGGUGGUUAAGAAGCUGCGGAUCUGGAGAUAUCGGAAGUGAUCAAAAGUGUUGAAGGGAGUGUUUUGUGGUAGAUCAGAGAAAGGGAAUAGUUGGUGGUUACGAAAAAAAUAGAAGGCCAUUAUCUUCGAAGUGGGCGUAGUAUUGGGGUGUCAUACCCGGAGCAAAUUGUUCGUUCCUCAGUAUUGGGGUUAGGGGUGAGGGUGUAUUAAUGAUCUUGUGUUUGCGUGUCGUCCUGUCCCAUAUUUGUAUAGAUGUCGCCAGGGCUGGUGUGGUUGGGGGGACCCUGGGUCUGUCCUGUCUCGGUACCCAUUGGUACAAAGAGGGGAAAUCCCUGCCAAAGAGGUCAUGUUCCAAAUCCACCCAUAACUUGAUCCCUGCUGGGGCAUGAAGGUUUUGUAUUUGCGCUAGUUGGGCUUCUUGGUGAUAGGACUAGAAGUUUGGUAGGCCGAGGCCUCCUUUUUUAUGUAGGAUGUAUAGUGUGAUUUGUUUUAUCCUGGCUCUCUUUCCUGCCCAGAUAAAUUUUCUAUCUGCAUUUGGAGGGAUUUAAAGUCGGUUUUGGAUAUUGUGAGGGUUUGAAACAAGUAUAGGAACCGGGAAAGCAGGUUCAUUUUCACUGAGGCCAGUAUGCCUAGCCAGGAGAAAGACAAUUUUUACCAGGACAGCAAGUCUUUAUUAGCCAGUUCCAGCAGCGAGAGGUAGUUCAAUCGGUACGUGGAUUGUAGGUCUCCUGGUAUGUAUAUACCUAGGUAGUGGAUGCAUUUUUCCUGGAAGCAAAAUGGUUAUGUCUUUUACAGCGUCAAGCGUAACUGGGGUGAAUUUAGAUUGGCAUUGCUUCUGUCGUAUUUAGGUUCAGCUUACAGUCCAAUAUUUUGGCAUAGUCGUCUAAGAGGUCUAGGGGAGGGGGUAGGGAGGUUAUGGGUUUGGUCAGGGUCAGUAGUAGGUCAUCCGCAUAUGUCGCUAUUUUGUAUUCUUCCCGUCUUAUUUUAAUACUUUUUGGUACAGGGGUCGUUUUGCAAAAGAAGCUCCAGGGAUAGGGCAAAGAAGGGGGAGACGGGGCAGCCCUUGUGAUUGUAUAUGCGCAAUGAGGUAGGGUGGGCGUUUGGUAUAGGAAGGCGUGCGGAUGGACUGGAGUAUAGGCUACGUAUUGCCUCCAGGAAUUAUCCAGGGAAGCCGUAUUUUGUUAGCGUUGCAAAUAGAUAUGGCCAUAGUAUGCGAUCGACACUUUUUCCGCAUCAAGUGAUAGUAGCAGUGUGGGGAUAUCUCUGUGAGUGGCUGCCCAGAUCAGGUCAUACGUCUGUCUUGUGUUAUCACAGGCUUGUCUGUGGAGGAUGAAUCUUACCUGAUCUGGGUGGACCAGUUGUAGUUGGACUGCACUGUAAGGGCAGCCCUGGCAUACAAUCACUCAAUUACUUCCAGUGCAGCUGGUAUGGCUGUACCAGUGCCCACACACUAAGGCGGCCCAUAGGGUUGCCUGAUGGGCGUGUCAUAAGGCUGUGCACUUUGCUCAUUAACAGCGUGAUUGGACCCCUGUAAUAUUACAGCACUUGGAGAAAGUGAGAAGCCUUAUCCCAAAUAACAGAGCCACGUGGAAGAGACUCAGAGGAGUGGGCAUUACCAGAGAGAGUCUGCCUCUAACACCCAACAACCUCAGCCACCAGACUGAACCUUAGUCUUUCAAAACUGUAGGAAACUAUCAUGUGUGUAUCUGUGUGUCAUCGUUUCUGUGUAUUUGCAGGUGUGUAUUUCUGUGUAUACGUGUCAUUGUGUGUGUGUAUCUGUAGGUGUGUCAGUGUGUUUAUGUGUAUCUGCAUGUGUGACAUGACAUCUGAGGCAGCAAGCCCCAGAGGAUGAGGGGUUUCACCGCCUGAGCCGUUCUUUUUACCAUGUUAGAGUGAUGCUUUCUGAUUUCCCAGGAUAGCAUAACUCUUACAAGAGCUGGUGAUAAUAGCAGGUAUUGCUGGUCCCUACAAUCUUGAGAUGAGGGUAAGCAAGAAUCGAUUUAUUGGUAGCCACAUUGGCCUUUUAGGCAAUUCCCCAUGCAAGGGACACUCCCACAUGGACCUUGUGGGGAACUACAAUAUAAAGUAACAAACCAAUGAUAAUGAUGUUCAAAUGCAUGACUCUCCCAUAUACAAUCAUACAACCCCUCUCUUCUGCCUGAGAGAUAAUUGAGACAGAUACUCUACUAACUCAAUUAUCUCUAGGUGAAAAAGAACACACGUUACAGGUAACCCUAAAGUACCCCAAAACUCAUAUAAUCCCCACAUAAGUUAUAUCCCCUGAUAGCCCCGAUCUGGGGGAGCAACAUUUUUAAAAAUCACCCAGAUCAGUUCAGGGGUUUAGGAUUUUUAUGGAAGUUUUGUUUAUGACAGAUCGCACAGGAGACUCCUUCCCAAAAUAGUUCCAGAUAUUCAGGCUGUGCGGUUGGUCUCUUUCGGGAACUCCAAACACAAUGAAAUACCGAAAGGAACCAUUUGUGAGAAGGCUAGUUGUGUACCCCUCCUUCGUGAGUUUGGUUUCACCGAAGGCCGAUUUCUACAGAUGCAUGGGAAUGAAUAUAAGUGGGGGUGGAAGUCUCAGUGGUGUUCGGGCCUUCGAGUGUCCGAUAAUAGUUCCAUGCACUCGAUGACCAAACCCUGCUGGAAGCGUUCGCCACAGCAAGAUGGCCGCCACCUCGUGUUCGUGCAUAUGAAUGGAGGCCAUCCAGCCGACCACUUAGAAUGUUCAGGGAUUGCGGUUAGAGUAGGUGUUAGGAAGGUCAAGGUCGUUAACUAGCAGCACACGACGGUCCUGGGUGGUCGGUCUGUUCAACAGUUUGUUCGGUAUUCAAACUGGGUAGAUUUUAAAUAUUUGGUUAGUUCAUAUACCGAAUGAUUCAAGGCAGUAGAAUUAAAAAUAAACAGAAGAAAUUUACAGGGUGCAAUCCAUGGAGAAGGCAUCCAUCACAACAUCUAUGACCUCUAGAGCUCUUUUAGUAUGAUGUUCACUCUUAUGACAUAAACUAUACAGAGGCCCCUAGAAUCGAGCUGGUACCUUAACUUUUAGCCUUUAUCACCUUGGAACAGGAAAUAGAUUCUCAAUAGUAUUGUGUGAGACCCUCUUGAGUAGGACACAGUUUCCAGAACAAGGUUAUAACUUGGUUCAAAGUGUUGUGCCAGUUACUGACUGCUCUGUGACUUCAUACAACAAUGUGCCUGUGAAGUAAUUUGUAUUAGUUUAGCAACCAAGAAGGCACAAAUUUAUUUAUUUUUUUGCUCUGGAAACAGAUUUUAAAUAUGUGAGAGUGUACACAUUUUUUGUUAAUGGAGGUUGUUUAUGCUGCAGGUGGAUUCUUGGGGUGGGUGGCGAGUACAUGUUUACUUAUUUAAUUGUUCUUUGAGCCAGGGGCGGACUGACUGCUCUGGUACUUGGAACAUGGUCAGAACACUUCAUUUCCGCCAUUAUCUGACAGAAUACCAGCCACUUGAGUCCGACACGCGAUGUUCACACAGUCCUUGGGCCCGGCGCUAAUUACCCAGGAGGGUAGCGUAUGAGGAUUCUGGCUGGGCCUGGAUUUACUUUAAUGCAAAGAGUGCAUUGAAGGAUUCACUCUGUUUGCCUUAAAGUUACAUACAUUGAGAAGAGCCGUGCACAUUAUUUGGCCAUCAUUGGAGCUGUCAGACAGCCAUAGUUAUAAUUGUUAUAAUUGAUGCAAGCAGUGUCGGUGUUCCCGCAGUGAGUUUGUUUGGGCUUCUGGGUUAAUUUAAGAAGAACAGCUGAAAGUAAAUAAUAAAAGUACUAAACUUAAGACUUGAUAAAAUUGGUACUACUUUGUGAUCAAAGCCAAAGCCCUCCUUUGGAAACUUUGCGGAACCAUAUAAAAACCACUCCGAGGAAUUAUAUUGUGACCUCAUCCUUGUCCUGAAGAAUGUAAAUAGUUCCUCUGAUUUUAGAAAUUCUGUUCGUCGUGAGGCACCAGGGCUGCCAUCAGAAAUUUUGGGGCCCCUGACACAGCUCAAGGUCUGGGCCCCCCGGUGCCUACACCCGAGUCCACCCAAAGUGCUGCCCCCCCCACCCCCGACUCUGCCCACAGGGAUGCAGUGUCUGUACUGAUUCUGGAGUGUGUAUAGUGGAUGCAGAGUUUGUGUGUUAAGUGGAUGCGGUGUGUGUCUAACAGAUGCAGUGUGUAUAGUGGAUGCAGAUUGUAUAUUUGUGUAAUGUAUGAGGUGUAUAUUAGAUGCAGAGUGUGUGUUUGUGUAGUGGAUGUAGUGUGUGUUUAUAGUGAAUGCAGAGUGUGUAUGUGUGUUGAUGUAGUGUUUGUGUGUAUUAAAUGCGAUGUGUAUAGUGAAUGCAGAGUGUGUGUUUGUGUAGUGGAUGUAGUGUUUAGUGAAUACAGUGUGUGUCUUUGUGUAGUCAAUGUAGUGUGUGUGUAUAGUGACUACAUAGUGUGUGUUUGUGUAAGUAUUUAAUGUGUGUAUAGUGACUGCAGACUGUGUUUGUGUAGUGGAUGUAGUGUGUGUAGUGACUACAAUGUGUGUUUGUGUAGGUACUGCAGAGUGUGUGUUUGUGUUAGGAAGUGUGUGUAGUGACUGCAGAGUGUGUGUUUGUGUAAGGAUGUAGUGUGUGUAGUGACUGCAGAGUAUGUUUGUGUAAGGAUGUAGUGUGUGUGUACAUUUUAGUGAAUAUUGUGUGUAUAGUUUGUAUAAAUGUUAAGUGUAUAGUGUAAAUGUAUGGGGCUGAAAAAUGUGGGGGGGAAAGCCUACAGUUUUUUUUAGAUAUACUGCCAAGAUGCUCUGCUCUGUCGAAGUCUCGCGAGCCAUGCGGAGCGUUGCAAUGGCAACGCUCUGACGAUCGCGUUGCUCGCGAGACUUUGACAGAGCAGAGCAUCUGUGCAGUAUAUUUCAAGUGUGCUGGGCCCCCUGCACAAUACAGGUAGCGGGGGGACCACAGUGCACACAUAUAUAGCAUUAAUCGCUAUAUAUGCGUGCACAUAGCUAAUGUGGGCAGUGACGUACACACAACCCAUAGGGCCCCGGUGUGAAAACUGAUCCGUGGGCCCACCCCGCGCAGAGUAAGCACGCUGGGGCCGCAACACAUGGCGGCGGGCACCUGGUCGCAGGGCUGCGACCCCUGCGACUGCGGUAUGUACGCCAGUGCAUGCAGAUACACUUAAAGGACCACCACAACAGACACCCAGAUCACAUCAGCUAAAUGAAGUGGUCUGGGUGCCAGAUCCCUCUAGUUUUAACCCUGCAGGUGAAAACAUAGCAGUUUCAGAGAAACUCUCAUUGACAGCCACUAGAGGAGCUUCCGCGAUUCUCACUGUGAAAAUCACAGUGAGAAGACGCUGAACGUCCAUAGGAAAGCAUUGAGUAAUGCUUUCCUAUGGGUGGUUUGAAUGCGCGCAGCUCUUGCAACGCAUGCGCAUUCGUAGCUGAGAGGCGGAUCAGGGCGGAGAGAUCCCCAGCGCCAAGGGAGUCCGGCGCUGGAGAAAGGUAAGUGCUUAAGACACGCACACACACUCUCACGAACAGACGCAUACACACUAGCUAACAGACACACACAUUUACUGACAGACACACACUCAGUGACACACUCUAACACACACACUAACAUACCCACACACAAACAGACUAACACACACACACAUUUUUAUUUCAGCCCCACAGCCUCCCUACCUUUGGGAGUGCUGAGGGUAUUCCCUGGGGUCCAUUGGUGUCACCCGGCGGCCGGUCCUGCUGGCGGGCGCGUGAGAGAGCAGUCUCCCUGGCUGAGUGCUUCCUGUUCAGCCCCCUCGUGCGCCGCGUAC